UAGAGAUCUUACUUCAAAGGUAUAAAACAUCUGUUAUGAUUUAACCUCAUCUUUCUUUUCAUUCUGUGUUUAUUGUUGAGUUGCUGGCAUCAGAUUUGUUUGAUUAGUAUUUUUAUUUUAUUUACUUGUAUUUUAGUGUGUUCACUGAAUGUCCUCAUCAAAAUGAAUGAAGAUGAGAUGACUGCAGCUGUUGGUGAUUUUGGCUUAGCAAAGAAAAUACCAGAUUCAAGGUAAACACUAACUGCCCACGAGCCUGUAUAUAUUUGAAUGUUUAUAGAACAUUAUUUUAAUAUAUUUUCUGUAUUAAUCUGUUAACUGGGUGCGAAACAAAAUAGCCAAACUUCAUAAGGACUUCAGCAAUAGAUUAUUCUUUUGAAAAAAUUGAAUUCUUGUCUCCACCUUUUAUACAAUUGCUAGUCCAUCUUAAUUUAAACAACUUUCCAAAACUUUGAAAAGACUAACUGUUUAAAGUUAAUUUUUAAUUAGCUUAAGAUAAAUCUGAUUAGUUGUAACUGUCCUUCUUAAUGCUAAAAAACUUGUAACCAUUUUGAUAAGGUACCCAGCUAAUGGAUAAAUACCUAUUUUUCAAUUCAAAACUACCGUUUGAAUUUCUGGUUUCCCAUAUAUGAUGUUAGCACUUUUUGAUUUGUUGAUUCCACUGAUGAAAGUACCAACAGAUGGCGAUAAUUUUAGUUUUUUUUUAUUGUUACAGUAAAGCACAUUUUAUCUGUAUCACAUUUAUCCGUAAUUUAUUUGCAGUCCCAGUUUAUUCUUAAUAUAUGCUUUGUUAAAAUAAUUUGUUUAUAUGACUGAAAAACAUAAAAUAUUGAUUGUAGGUUUUUUUUCUGUACUUUGUUUUUUUUUCUAUGUAAUCUCUGAAUAUUUGCCAUGGAUUUCAGAAACUCUCAAGGCUUUCUCAACUCUAAAAUACAAUUUUUUCCCCUUCAAAUUUUUUUUCUUCUUAAUUGCCUAUGUGUAUGGAAAGAAUUGUAUAUUUUUGUGUGUUCAAAUUAUUAAGUCAUCACCAGCAUUGGCAUGACAGCCCUUUGUGAGCCUGGGCCUUCCUCAGAAGCUUUUCCCAUUCUGCCCUUCUCCCAGUAAUUGAUUUCCAGUUCUUUAUUUUAAGGUUUUA